UCAACCUUCUUCAGCCCCGUUUGAUCCAAUCUCAAAGUGAUUGGUGAUUCAUCUCAGAUCCAAUCUCGGAGCGAUUGGCGAUUUCAAUUUUGAUUUCGAAGUUCUCUCUCUCUCUUUCUCUCUCGAUUUCGAAGCUUCACCGCCUCCACCAUCUGCACCGGCGAGGGGAGCGAGCACCAUCGUCUACUAAGAAUGAUAUGAAGUGUGCAGAGGCAUACGUGAAGUUCAUGUGUCAAUGGUUGCUUGAUAAUUGCCCUGAUGAUAUGGAAUUUAUGGUUAAAAGUUAUGACAAAAGUGCAAUUGAUCGUCUACGAUUGGUUGCUUCGACCGACUUUGUCUGCCUUUCUUACACGGAAGCAAUUGCAAUUCUUAAGGAAUCAUUGAAAGAAAGGCAGUUUGAGAAUAAAGUGGAAUGAGGAAUAAAUUUAGCAUCUGAACAUGAAAGAUUCUUGUCUGAUCAUUUGAACAUUUGGUUUACUUAAAAGUAGAGUCAAAUCCAAGAAAUGCGGAAAUACUCGUCGUGAUUUUGAUCUCAUCGUCACCAAUGCCCAGACUAACGAAGGCUGCGAGAUGAAAAUGGUCACAUUAUUGAGCACACUGAGGUAAGAUUUCCAAGUGUUGGAACUGAAACUGACAUUGAGAUUUUCUAGGGUCUAAUAUGCAGUAAUUUAGUGGCCAAUAACUUCACAGUGGAAAGUUCAAAC